CCUACGGGUGGCUGCAGUGGGGAAUAUUGCACAAUGGGCGCAAGCCUGAUGCAGCCAUGCCGCGUGUGUGAAGAAGGCCUUCGGGUUGUAAAGCACUUUCAGCGGGGAGGAAGGCGUUAAGGUUAAUAACCUUGUCGAUUGACGUUACCCGCAGAAGAAGCACCGGCUAACUCCGUGCCAGCAGCCGCGGUAAUACGGAGGGUGCAAGCGUUAAUCGGAAUUACUGGGCGUAAAGCGCACGCAGGCGGUCUGUCAAGUCGGAUGUGAAAUCCCCGGGCUCAACCUGGGAACUGCAUUCGAAACUGGCAGGCUAGAGUCUUGCAGAGGGGGGUAGAAUUCCAGGUGUAGCGGUGAAAUGCGUAGAGAUCUGGAGGAAUACCGGUGGCGAAGGCGGCCCCCUGGACAAAGACUGACGCUCAGGUGCGAAAGCGUGGGGAGCAAACAGGAUUAGAUACCCGUGUAGUC
rnacentral:rRNA from 1 species